GUCCCCUCCAAGCUCAUGCCCGCUUCUUCCUCCCCGGCUCCAGCAACUCGUGAUCCGCUCGCCCCUCUCCUACACUGACCAUCGAAGGUUGUUGGACAAAGAUGGUGAGCGGUGGGACUAGGAUGAGGAGGGGGAGGGAAGAAGGAGCACCCAUAGGACGGGAGGAGGAGGCGCAACAGGUAGAGCAGCAGGCCGCUGUCGAUGCGGUGCAGUAGGACGACGACAACGCUUAGCAGGACGUCUCAGGUUUUGGUGUCUCAGGUUCGAGGAACAUCUAAUUGCGAGAUUCCACGAGUCUCCCUUAGCGACCCAUACUUCGUGAUAGGCAUCCACUGAUUCGACCCGAUGGGGAGAGGGAACACUUUCCUAGACUUGUUGACUACAUUGGAGUGAUGGGCCCAGCCUACAUAUUCGACCACUACGUCAUUGCCCCCGAUGCAGUAGAUCGGAAUGGUAGGGAAUUUAACAACAAGGCGGAGUAGGUGAAGCAAGAGUUGUGGGAUUUCUUCAUAUGCGAGGCUGGAUACAAGGCCAGGGCAGAUGUGGUGGCUACCACGAGCUUUAAGAAGCUCGUCGUGGACAUGUACUACGAGACGCACAUCCAUGCCAUCGUCACUUAGCACGGCUUCAUCCUUGAGGAGAUGGUGAGCAAGCACGACGCUCCAACCAUGUCGUUGGCUCGAGACCAGUACUUGUAGCUAAAUACAGAACUUUAAUAUUCGUAUUAAAUAUGCUUAAUUUUAUCUUUUGUUAA